rnacentral:rRNA from 1 species
UACGAAGGGGGCUAGCGUUGCUCGGAAUGACUGGGCGUAAAGGGCGCGUAGGCGGUUUGGUCAGUUAGACGUGAAAUUCCUGGGCUUAACCUGGGGGCUGCGUUUAAGACGGCCAGGCUUGAGUGUGAAAGAGGGUCGUGGAAUUCCCAGUGUAGAGGUGAAAUUCGUAGAUAUUGGGAAGAACACCGGUGGCGAAGGCGGCGACCUGGUUCAUUACUGACGCUGAGGCGCGAAAGCGUGGGGAGCAAAC